AAGAAAAGAACAAGAUGGUGAAGUUUGAAAAAAGAACAAUUCUGAAGGGGAGGCUCCUCAAAGAUUUGGAAGAGGAAGGAAGGACAUGGUCCCUCAGUUGGAAGGAAUGUUAGCCCUAAAAAGUUUAAGAUAGAGAAUGAAAGAGUAAAUAGUGUGGUGAAAUGAGUAAAAGGUGAAGUUUGAUGAUAAUGAGCUAGGGGAGAUUCUAAGGAUACAUGUUGAAGGCUACAUAAGCAACAUGUCAUAUGUUUCACAUGAAUAUGUAACUUGAGUAACCUCUACUUCCUAAGCAGCCUUCAUUGAACAACCAACCAUACUAUAUAUAAAUACUAGAUAUCCCGUGCAUGUGUUGUGCACGGGCCUAACACGACCAUAAGCCUAACACCACUGCACAAAAUAGGUCCGAGAGUAAGAAAGAUAAUUUCAUACUUGUGUAGUAAGAUUACCCCCGAAAAAUAAAAUGACGAAGCAAUACCAUCCGUUGACUAAAUAUUACAACAUAAUACACCACAUUCAUUUGUUUAGCUUCAUUAGUCCAAUUGCAUUUUUAGCUUGCUUCUAUGAGAAUGAGAAAGAUAAAAACAAUCAGAUAAAUCGUGUUCAUGUUGGUAGUCCCACUAAUACAAAAUAUUGGAUAAAAUUUGGACAGUUGCAGUUGACAACAAAUACUUCAUCUUAUAUCCACCUAAAGAAAAGAAAAUCAAGCAUUAGUAUUAUUGGUAAGACUUACAUAUGGUAGUAUAACAAUCAUAAAAUUCAGCUAGUUUGCAUAUUCAGCAAAACAAUCAUAAAUUCAUUAAUUUUGGAGGAAAAAGAGGGGCAUAAAAUAUCAGCAUGGACUAAGAGGAGAAAGAAAAGAUUCAGACACGGUAGACCUAUUGAAAUGCCCCCAUCAAAGGCAUGUUCUAAAUCUGAAUUGGGUCUCUUCUUUUUAGCAAUCUAUAGCUAGGCAUUAAAUAAUGAUUUACAACCUUGGAGGACCUAUUUAGGGAUAUGAACCUUUAACCUAUUUCAUUGGAGGAGACUAUCUUCAUUGAUUUUGGUAUUGAUGUAAUAACUGAAAAGUGAUACACACCAAAUUUAAAAUAGAAAAUCUGCAAUAGAAGCACUACCAGUAAAUCACAAUUCACAACCAUACUCGCAUAUUCUGUGACUUAGGAGAGAUCAUGUAGUGGUAUUUCUAUUUCAAUCACCUGACCCUACUCUAUUCAUGAGAACAACUGCUAUCUAUGUUGAAUGAAUGCGUCCAGGUUACUACAAAAAUUUCUAGACAAAUUCUAACUUCUGCAAAUACUACUUCAAUUGCCUUAUUUCUAUUAUAUACUUACAAGCAACGACCAUCUCAUCAUGACCAUCUAUCGAAGAGAUGCACCAAAAAGAUCUGAAAAACAUAAAGCAGAUAAACGAACCUUCAAAAUAUAAGUUUUGAGUAGUAUUUAAACACAUGUUAAAGGAUACAAUGAAAAGAAGCAUAUUGCCAACGACAAGUCUGUUUUUUCAUUUCCUUGCAAAACUUACUAAUGACAAACUAAGUGAAUGUGUGGGCUAAAGAUGUUGCAACCUGAUCAUUCUAGAUAUGUCCAUGUUAUUGUCCUUGGUGGGGCUUCAGUGAGAGUUCAUCAUUUAUAAUUUGCUGCUUUUGAGGCUAGUGAAAAAUAUUCAACAUGUUGUGCGAGAGAUUUGGAAACAACAGUUAUCACUUAUCACAUGCCAUCAGUUCUUGCUCGAUCCUUAUCUAUAUGAAAUAAAGCGUGCGUCUAUACCGAUAAGUAGAUAUUGAUUGAUCUCAACUAAUCAAGGGGAAAAUGUUUGAUAUUUUGGUCAAUUCAAAAUAUCAUAAUAAAAAUACCCCCGUACCCUGACAACUUAAAAAAAGUGAAAAGAAGAAAGGAAUGUUGAGGCUAGGAAUGAAGUGCAAAGAGAAAACUGGAGAAAUAAAACUCACAUGCAGACAUCCACUAAUCAAACAAAUCAAAUGCUCAAAAAACAAAAUCAGAGAACAUAGCUUACCAAUUAAUACAAUCGCAGCACACCAGAUUGAUCGGCAAAGGACUGUCAAUCCAACUAAAGAAGAUACUAUCAUGUGACAGAAGCAUUAUUCAAAGUUCAAACUUGCCGCAAUUAUUACUCCCACCGUUCCAGUUUAUGUAAACCUAGCUAUUUCCUUUUUGGUCCGUUCCAAAAAGAAUGACCCCUUUCUAAAUUUGGAAACAAUUUAGCUUAAACUUCCAAUUCUACCCUUAAUGAGAAGCUUUUAUAACCACACAAAUACUCUGGUCCCCAUUUUGACUUGUUUAGGACCACAAAUUCUAAAAAAGUCAUCAUUUUUUCUUAAACUCCGUGAUCAGUCAAACAUGUUCACAUAAAUUGGAACAGAGGGAGUAUUAUUGAAAAAAAUGGAAGGGAAGGAAAAGAUAAAGCUGUAAUUUUGAUUACUUUUGCUCCACGCGUAUAGUAGUCACCGGAACAUCUAUGUACAAGAUAAAAAGUCAUAAGCAAGCUGCGGUAAGGACUUUAUUUUCCUGCAAAACAAUUGUUGAUGUAUAGAAAAACAUGUUACUAAUUUAUAUGAGGGAAUCAAUUAGGAUAUUUGCGAACGAACAUUUAAACUUGUUGCUAAAUUUUUAUGUUUGAGUAGCUUAGUAACUUUUAUUCUCUGUGUAAAAGCAUAGGAGUUAGCAGGACUUCAGAAUAUGCAAGCAUUUGAACUAUCUCGGAGGAGUUGAUUGAAAUAUUUCAAGAAUUUCUCAAGGAUUAAUCUUCAUUUCCUGCACAUACUCUAGUCCCUCUCGAGAUAGUAAUUCUGGGGUUUUCACAUUAUAAAAUGACAUAAAGAUGAUCUCCGAAUGAUCUUCUUAGCUGCUACUUGAUUUUCAAAUGUAUCAACCAAAUCAGACAACCCAAUGAAUGAAAGCUCUUAAUCUUCAUUAUACUCCAGCAUAGAGCGAUAAUGUCUCAAAUUCUAGAGUAAUCUUAAUAUCUCGUUCUGAACACUUAUGUCAUUUGAGUAUCAAAUAAAUCUCAGUUGUAACCUAAAAGCAACAACCAUAAAUUCCAGCUUUGUUUCUUUGAUACUAUGUUGUAGAUUAGUUUUAUGGAGUUACAACCAACAAAUCAGAAGUAGAAAGAUUCAAAAAAUGACGAAGAAACAAUAAUAAUUCAACGAUGAUAGAUAAACAAAAUUGAUUGUCCUUGUAAUAUUGCAUAGAUCAGAGAGCUAUUGUUGAAAUGUGAGACCCGUUUGGCCAUAGAUCACUUUUGACACGGAACCAACCCCCAGAGGAAACAGAGGGACAACAACACAAAACUGCAGCACAUCCCUAUUUUUAUUUCUAAAGCAAGAAAGAACAACGACACUGCCACUCUUCAAUUAAUUUCUAAAUCAAUUCCCAAAUAGAAUUUCAGUGCACCUUUAUCAUCUCUCAACGCAAUUCUAAUGUGCAAAGUCGCCCAAACCUGUAGAAGUAAGAGGUUCUUACUCCCAUGUAGUCUAAAUACUUUUUUUCUUACUAUUUUCUUCAAUCCUUUAUCUUCUUUUUUAUAACAAGAAUAAGUACAACUAUAGAUUUGUUGCCUAACAUAAACUUUUCCUAAGCAUUCAUCCCACAAAUCAAAGUAGGCAAAUAACUUUAAGCUUUUCCUAAUCAUGUAUAUUCCAAUCAAUCAACCUCCAUUCCAUACAUCAUCCUAUUUCUUUGGAUGCUGUCAUAGCCAAAAAGAAGUGACAAAAUAAGACGGUAAACUUUCCUCUUCCAUUGUUAUCUUCGAGAAAUAGAGUAAGACAGUGGACACAUAGAAGGUUUGAAGAUGAAAUUUCAUAAAGAUACCCCACGCCCUAGAUCACUUUCAGCAUUCUAAAGAUGCCAAGUGAAUGUAGAAAUUUGAAAGUUCUAAAAGAUGGAUAUAUAUUCUUUGUUCCGAGUUGGCGAUUUUGGUGUUAUAGAUGUAGUUUAUUGUAAGGUCUGUAAUGUUAUUUGAAAAGUGUUCAUGACGGCUAGUAAGAUGAUAAAGCCCAUAAUACUGUAUGUAAUACCCGAAAGAAUUGUACUCUAGCUAGUUUGUUGAACAUACCAUCACAAUCUCGGUGUUGUUUGUAAUUAGAAAAUUUACCUUUUUAAUCAAAAGCAAUAUAAGGAGAAAAUAUGGUCAAAGUAUAGAAUCAGAUAUGCUGAGCACAUUUUUCCUGAAAUAAAAAGAACUCAAUUUAGUAAAAAUUUUGAUUCAUAUCUUCUCAAGCUCAACCUGAGACUAUACUUUCCUAAAGUCGGAAUAGGAUCGUUCUCCACUUCACGAGAUUUUAAAAAGAACAACUUAAUUUUGUAAAUACUUCAUUAAUCAUUUUUCCCAAAUAAAGUUUUUAAACAUAUAAAAUCUCUAUAAGAAGACAAAAGUGAAAGAACACAAGUAUUUUUCUUGGCUGUACAUUAAAAAUAAAAAGAAUGCAUUUGAAACAUUAGUUUGCUAAUUUCAGUACUGUUGAAGAAGCCUUGUAAAACAUUAAAUUCGGAUAGCCUAACAUACAAUUAUUUCUUGUUAGCUAAGAAGUCCUUUAAAGUAUGCAUCAACUACCGUCAACAGUCAGAUAAAUAUUACUUCUCAUUUAAUUCUAUCCUCUCAUGUCUACAGCAGUUUAGAAAAUCCACAAAAUUGUUUAGAUCCUGGGGCCAUCUUACAAUUACACCAAGAAUACACAAACUGCAAUGACUUGAAUUGAAUACAUGCUAAGGCCCAAUAAGUAUUUUGAAAAAAACUAUAGUUUCUUUCCACAUUGUGCAAAAAAAGCACGAAGGAACUUAUUACUGGAUGUCUUUGUGAAUGUAAUAGAAAAUCUCAUGAAUUAAGCAUAAAAAACCUUUUGUUCUUGGGGAUAAUUGCAUUUUUAAUGAGUUACUAAUAUUGAAAAGGGGAAGUAAGUAAAAGUAAACCAAAAUGUGCAGAACUUACCUGGUACAAGUGAAGCAAUAUUCCUUUCCCCACUUUCAGUUAACAACUUCCUUUAAGAAAAAUCUGAAAAAUCAAUAUUUUGGGACCAUUAUAUUCCUACUAAAUGAAUACAAAAAUAUUCGGUAAUAUCAAAAGUUCAUAUUUCAAACAAAACCCAAGUAAGCGAUACACUAUUCAGUUUAAUAGAGUCUCGUCAAAAAAUAAUAAAAUAGGAGUAAUAAUUUUGAAAAAGAAGAAGAUAAACCCAAUUAAAGAACAUUGUGUGAGAAAAAUAUUGUGCAUGAGUAAAUCAAACAUAUCUACUGACAUGUAUGUAUAACAUUCAAUAAAAUACUGCCCAAAAGUUCAAGAUGCCCAAAAAAUUAUAUUAAAAACAGGAUCCAAACACAUGCAUAGCCGAGAAAACAGAGGAAGAUGCAAAGAAGGUGUCCAAUUCCCUGCUUCUUAGUAGGAGAAACUGAUAGAUAAGUCACCAAAGAAACCCCAAAUUUUCCAUCUUUCAAUUUUCUUUUUCAAACUUUCAGUUCAUACACUUUGAAAACCUAAAUAGACACAAUUCAAUAAUGUAGCCACAUAAGACUCACCAAUCCUUGUAACAUUAAAAAAAUUAGAAAUGGUAAAAGAUAAAAGAUAAAAGAUAUUCUCCAUCUUCAUAAUAGCCAAAGGUAACACAUAAAUAUUAAAAAAAUGAACCCAGAUGGGACUAAAUCUAAAAACUGAGCAAAAUAUUAACAGGGGGAAGAAGAAAAAGGCAUCAGCAAGAGAAAGAGUCGGUGGAAGGGAAAUUGAGAAAUGUAGGAAAAAG
rnacentral:lncRNA from 1 species